rnacentral:lncRNA from 1 species
CUUGCCCUUGCGUGCAUUAACUUCAUGGUGGGCUCUUUCUGCUGUCCUAAUGGUCGGCGCCGUCCGGGUCGGCCUCCUCGGUCGCGGGCCAUUCCAUUGCCGGCGGGAGAAGCACGUAGAGGCGACGACACGGUGGGGCUUUGUACAGCGGCCACGGGCCGGCCCGCCAGUUACCGUUGAGCUGUGCAAGGAUCGGAAGCCGCCAGGGACGUCAAGGCCAGGCCACUGGGCGCGCACUCGAUGGAGGCGCAGAAGGGACCAGGGACCGUUGGUGGCGCGGCGGCGAAGGGGGGCUUCACCGAGCCGCCGCUAGGUCCUGUCUUAAUGGUCCGCGGCGUCCCGGUCGGCCUCCUCUGCUGCGCGGAGCCGUGGUCGGUCGUCGUUCUACUGCUCCGCUCGAUCGGUAUCUCGACUCAGCCUGCGGUUAUGAUGGAUAGUUCCAUGUCUGAUGCUCAGUUACUGCGAUGGGGUGGCCACUCUGCUCGGUCCCUCGGCUCUGGGUGCAUGGCGGAUCCUUCGGUUCUUCAGUCUCGUGGUGACCAUGUAAGAUCUGAUCAGUGCUGUUUUUUUUCCAUGUUUAUUAUGGAGGAUAAGCUGGUGUUGUUCCAUAUGCUAAGCGCUCUGUUGGUUUGGUUGCCUAGCUGGCCUUCUUCUUUGGCGUCCGAUUCUGCGGCUGAUGGUUCCUCCACGCGGCGGAGGGAAGAGAUCCGGUUGGGAAAGCGCCCGGUCGAUUCAAUUAUUGGUUAGUGCAUUGAUUUUGUGGGGUUUUUUUCAUUGGUUAUUGCUGGAUAUUGCUUUGAUGAUGGUGCUUUUUCUCUCUGCAGGUGCUUCUUUUGUGAAUCCAAUCGGUGUGUGGACUGGACUGCUCCUUCCCGUCAUCUUUCCGUCUCGGCUCUGGUAUUUUCUUGCUUCUUUCUGUUCGUUUUUCUUUCCGCUGGAUGUGACAUCUGGUUGCAUGCAUGCUUUGCUUACUGUUGGUUGUCUAGGUAGAUGCGGAUUGGGACAAGCGGUAGGUCUAGCUGUUGGUAGACGGGGCCAGGUUGGCGUCUAGCAGGGCGAUUGGUCGUGGUCAAACUGAACACUGUUUGUGUACUGUAUUUUAAUAUUGUGUCUCUAACUGCUAAGGGCAUCUUAGGUUGUACGUGUGUGUUUGCCUGCAUGGCCAUGCACGCGAUCGACGUGGUCGCAUCUGCCGUCUGUUUUUUGCUAGGGGCACCCGAAGCUGUACACGCAUGCUUGGGUGCAUGGGUCAUGCGCUUGGCCGACGUGGUUAUGUCUGCGUUCUGUUCUGAUGCUAGGGUUAUCCCAGAUUGUACACCCAUACUUGGGUGCAUGGGCCAUGUACAUGGCCGACGUGCCAGGCCAGUGUCAUGGUGUGUUGCUAGGAGUACCCCGGGUAGUACGUGUAUUCUUGGGUGCAUGGCCAUGCCCGUGGCUGGGUUGGUCGUGUUGUGCGUGUUCUCUUACUCUCGUGUGUUUGGUCGUCUAUUUUGUUUUGGUUUUUUCCUUCCUAUGUGCCUGUUUGGCUCAUCGGUUGUACUAUUUGCAGGAGGCUUGGUUUUGCCUGCUUACGAUACGAGGCUCUUGGUGCGCCGGGCGUUUUUCAUGUGUGUGAUGUUCGUUCCGUUGGUACUCGACCUGUCUUUGCGCGGCCAUGGGUUGUUCCACUGCGAACCAUGGGGUCUCUUUGUCGCCCAGUUGCGUUAGGUCAGUAUGUUAUUCUUUGCUUUCAGUUUGUUCUAUAUGAACUGGUUUGCGCUUUUUAAAAAUUGUUUUAAAUUUUUUUGUAUUCAUUUUAAGUGCCGCCGACAUCAAUUAUGGAACCCCGGGAUAUUAUUCGUGCUCGAUGCAAGAGGAGGUUGAUACGGUCGUAUAAGUCUGGAAGAAAGAGAGGUUUGUGGGCACGUUUGUGUUUGUUUUUCGUGUGGUCGAUCGUUGUCGGCCUUCCUUUUUUCUUUCUUUAGUUGGUUUUCACUGGUGUUCAUUGCUGUUGUUUACAUGGUGCACUACGUGGGGUUGAGCUUCCUCUUUCAAAAGAUGUUGCUCUAGUCAAGAGUAUGGAUUUGUGUGCUUAUUUCUUUGAAUUUUUUAGAAGUUACGUGGUGUUUUCAGCUUUUUUUAUUGUGGUGUUUUUGUGACGCAGCUGUUUGUAGAGGGUGUUCGUAUUACGGCGGUCCGGACCUUAUGUGUGAGUGGUGCGGUGCAUUUUAUUGGUUUCAUGAGGGUUCGGUUCACCAUGCAGGGACAACUGCUCGACGGCCCGUUUAUACUNNN